UACGUAGGGGGCAAGCGUUGUCCGGAAUUACUGGGCGUAAAGCGUGCGCAGGCGGUUAUGCAAGACAGAUGUGAAAUCCCCGGGCUCAACCUGGGAACUGCAUUUGUGACUGCAUGGCUGGAGUGCGGCAGAGGGGGAUGGAAUUCCGCGUGUAGCAGUGAAAUGCGUAGAUAUGCGGAGGAACACCGAUGGCGAAGGCAAUCCCCUGGGCCUGCACUGACGCUCAUGCACGAAAGCGUGGGGAGCAAACAGG
rnacentral:rRNA from 1 species